rnacentral:misc_RNA from 1 species
GAUGAAGAACGCAGCGAAAUGCGAUAAGUAAUGUGAAUUGCAGAAUUCAGUGAAUCAUCGAAUCUUUGAACGCACCUUGCGCUCCCUGGUAUUCCGGGGAGCACGCCUGUUCGAGUGUCGCGAAAUUCUUCAAGCCUUGGAUGGAUUUUUUUUGUCUGUCCUUGGGCUUGGGUGUUGGGCUCUGCCGUGUCCUUCAUUGGGACGGCUGGCCUUAAAAGCAUUAGCCGAUCCUCGUGUGGUACUGGUUCUACUCAGCGUGAUAACAAUCUGAUCGUUGAGGACAUCUUCUGGAUGGCCAGUCAUCAUUUGGGUUGCUUCUAAACCGGUUUCGCAGAUUGCUCAAUCUGUGUGCCACUUUUCAGCUUUGACCUCGAAUCUGGUGGGACUACCCGCUGAACUUAAGCAUAUCAAUAAGCGGAGGA